UGGGGAAUAUUGGACAAUGGGCGCAAGCCUGAUCCAGCCAUACCGCGUGGGUGAAGAAGGCCUUCGGGUUGUAAAGCCCUUUUGUUGGGAAAGAAAUCCAGCUGGCUAAUACCCGGUUGGGAUGACGGUACCCAAAGAAUAAGCACCGGCUAACUUUGUGUCAG
rnacentral:rRNA from 1 species